AUCGUACUGUAAACACCACUGAAGAAAAAUGUCAAUGUGGAAGCCAUUGGGAAAAUUCAUCAUUAUCCAAAAAUAAAAACAAAAAACAAGUAAAAAAAAAAAGGAGAUGAACAGGUGAGUGAAAUAGAGGAGGAUUCAGUAGUAGUCGCUUCUAAUCAACAUCUACCUUCUUCCACGAAAACAAGCAAUUCAAUCAAACGUGAAAGCAAGUUUUCCUUAAUAUUUUGAUUCUCACUCUUAAGCAAAAUAUCUCGACACCAACCACAAAAAAACAGACAUUCUUUAUUACUUCCACUCCUCUCUUCUGUCUGAUCCUUCACCAUUGUCUCUCUCGCUCGAUCAAUCCUUUGUCUUUCUUCAUUGCCAGCUGAAUAAGAAUCCAACCUUUCUCUUAUAGGAAGCUAGCUACACUUGGUUUCAUUUUGCAUGUGGUGGUGAAUAAUGGAUUCUGAGUCUUGGAAGCUUCUCAGAAGUGUUUGCAUACUUUCUUUCCUCCUCGGCUCUUUCUCUGUCUAUCAAAGCCUUCAUGCUGUUGUUGCUGCUCAAGAACAACAAGAUACACAACCAGCCGUGACUCUGCAAGUAAACGCUUCUAAUGUAGCUGGACGACUCAUUCCCGAUACUCUCUUCGGAAUUUUCUUCGAGGAGAUUAACCAUGCUGGUGCUGGUGGUUUAUGGGCUGAACUUGUUAGCAACAGAGGGUUUGAAGCUGGUGGGCAGAACACACCGUCUAAUAUAUGGCCUUGGUCCAUUGUUGGUGACCAGUCAUCAGUAUAUGUAGCUACGGACCGUUCAUCACCCUUUGAACGGAAUAAAAUCGCUUUGAGAAUGGAUGUGAUCUGUGAUGGCAAUGGUUGUCCUUCAGGAGGUGUUGGAGUUUAUAACCCUGGUUACUGGGGCAUGAAUAUUGAAGAAGGAAUGAAGUACAAGGUGGCGUUUUAUGUGCGUUCGAGUGAUGAUAUUGAUCUGUCUGUGUCGUUGACAAGCUCUAAUGGAUCGUUGACUCUUGCUUCUGAGAAGAUCAUAGCGUCUGCUUCUGAUGUUUCGAAGUGGACUAAGAAGGAGGUUCUUCUGGAGGCUAAAGGGACGGAUCAUGGUGCAAGGCUUCAGUUAACAACAACCAAGAAAGGGUCAUUAUGGAUUGACCAAGUCUCUGCCAUGCCGGUUGAUACUUACAAGGGACAUGGCUUUAGAAAUGAUCUUUACCAAAUGAUGGUUGAUAUAAAACCUCGUUUCAUCCGUUUCCCAGGUGGUUGUUUUGUUGAAGGUGAAUGGUUAAGUAAUGCAUUCCGCUGGAAAGAAACUGUUGGUCCUUGGGAAGAGAGACCAGGACACUUUGGUGAUGUUUGGAAGUAUUGGACUGAUGAUGGUCUUGGCCACUUCGAGUUCUUUCAAUUGGCAGAAGACAUUGGAGCAGCACCAAUAUGGGUAUUUAACAACGGGAUAAGUCACAAUGAUGAAGUUGAAACUGCCAGUAUCAUGCCCUUUGUCCAGGAAGCACUUGAUGGUAUAGAGUUUGCUAGGGGAGAUGCUAACUCUACAUGGGGAUCGGUUCGAGCUGCAAUGGGACGCCAAGAGCCUUUUGAACUGAAGUAUGUUGCUAUUGGGAAUGAGGAUUGUGGAAAGACUUACUACAGAGGGAACUAUAUUGUGUUCUAUGAUGCUAUCAAAAAGGCUUAUCCAGAUAUCAAAAUCAUCUCCAACUGUGAUGGAUCAUCUAGUCCUCUUGACCAUCCUGCUGAUUACUAUGAUUUUCAUAUAUACACUUCUGCUAGCAGUUUGUUUUCCAUGUAUCAUCAAUUUGACGGUACUUCACGCAAGGGUCCAAAGGCUUUUGUCAGUGAAUAUGCUGUGACUGGAAAAGACGCUGGUACAGGAAGCCUUCUCGCUGCUCUUGCUGAAGCUGCAUUUCUCAUUGGUCUUGAAAAAAACAGUGACAUUGUGGAAAUGGCAAGCUAUGCACCGCUCUUUGUGAACACAAACGAUAGACGGUGGAACCCUGAUGCAAUAGUCUUCAAUUCAUCUCAUCUAUAUGGAACUCCUAGCUUUUGGGUGCAACGGUUCUUUGCGGAGUCAAGCGGAUCAACUCUUCUCAGUUCAGAACUGAAGGGAAACUCUUCUUCUAUUGUAGCUUCUGCAAUCUCGUGGAAAAACAGUAGCCAAGAUUACAUACGCAUAAAGGCUGUAAACUUUGGAGAUAGCUCAGUGAACCUGAAGGUGUUGGUUACUGGAUUGGAUCCGAACGUGAUGAAAGUUUCAGGAUCAACGAGGACAGUACUUACAUCUACAAAUGUGAUGGAUGAAAACUCCUUCACACAGCCAGAGAAGGUUGUGCCACAAGAAAGCUUGCUAGAGAUGGCUGAGGAGGAUCUUACCGUUGUUCUCCCGCCACACUCGUUCUCUUCAUUUGAUUUGUUGAAGGAACCUGCAAAGAUCAGAAAGCCAGUUUCUGAUUCUUCCUAUCAGAAAACCUCAACUAUGUGAUGAGACACGAUUGAUGAUGACAAGGAGUAUUAGAAAAACUUCAUAUUUAAAGUCUCUUGUGGUUAAAGAUACUUAUAUUACGUAUGCGUACCUAUGUGUAUAAAGGGAUAAAAUAGUUUGGUCAAUAAAAUCUUACUUUCUUUAAUCAUGAGCAUGUCUUGCCUUUGGAUAGCUUGAUAUGCACGUAACAAAAUGCUAACAGUGUAAUUUGAAUUUAAUCAAACUAAUUGAAUUUUU